rnacentral:rRNA from 2 species
GCGCGGUGGUCCCACCUGACCCCAUGCCGAACUCAGAAGUGAAACGCCGUAGCGCCGAUGGUAGUGUGGGGUCUCCCCAUGCGAGAGUAGGGAACUGCCAGACA